UGGGGAAUCUUGCGCAAUGGCCGAAAGGCUGACGCAGCGACGCCGCGUGUGGGAGGACGCCUUUCGGGGUGUAAACCACUGUUGCCCGGGACGAACACCUUCAUUCGUGGAGGCUGCCGGUACCGGGUGAGGAAGCACCGGCUAACUCCGUGCCAGCAGCCGCGGUAAUACGGAGGGUGCGAGCGUUGUCCGGAAUCAUUGGGCGUAAAGGGCGCGUAGGUGGCCUGUGCAAGCGUGCGGUGAAAGCUCGGGGCUCAACCCCGGGUCGGCCGUGCGAACUGCUGGGCUCGAGCACUGUAGAGGCAGGCGGAAUUCCGGGUGUAGCGGUGGAAUGCGUAGAGAUCCGGAAGAACACCGGUGGCGAAGGCGGCCUGCUGGGCAGUGGCUGACACUGAGGCGCGACAGCGUGGGGAGCAAAC
rnacentral:rRNA from 1 species